rnacentral:rRNA from 1 species
AACCUUUACAAUGCGGGAAAGCGCUGAUAAGGGGACCCCGAGUGCCAGCACCUUGUGUUGGCUGUUCUCACGGUGUUUAAAGAAACACCUGUAAGCAAAGGGCCGGCAA